ACGCUCGACACCUACGGGGGCAGCAGUGGGGAAUAUUGGGCAAUGGGCGCAAGCCUGACCCAGCAACGCCGCGUGAAGGAAGAAGGCCCUCGGGUUGUAAACUUCUUUUGACAGGGACGAAACAAAUGACGGUACCUGUCGAAUAAGCCACGGCUAACUACGUGCCUGCAGCCGCGGUAAUCUGAGCGGGCUGGCAAGGC
rnacentral:rRNA from 1 species